rnacentral:rRNA from 1 species
AAAGCGUGCGCAGGCGGUUAUGUAAGACAGAUGUGAAAUCCCCGGGCUCAACCUGGGAACUGCAUUAGUGACUGCAUAGCUGGAGUACGGCAGAGGGGGAUGGAAUUCCGCGUGUAGCAGUGAAAUGCGUAGAUAUGCGGAGGAACACCGAUGGCGAAGGCAAUCCCUUGGGCCUGUACUGACGCUCAUGCACGAAAGCGUGGGGAGCAAACAGGAUUAGAUACCCUUGU